ensembl:misc_RNA Metazoa_SRP Metazoan signal recognition particle RNA
GCCAAGCACGGUGGUGCAUGCCUGUAGUCCCAGCUAUUCAGGAGGCUGAGGCUGGAGGAUCUCUUGAGUCCAGGAGUCCUGGGCUGUAGUGCGCUAUGACCAUUGGGUGUCCACACUAAGUUCAGCAUCAAUAUGGCGACCUCCCAGGAGCAGGGGACCACCAGGUUCCCUAAGGAAUGGUGAACCAGGUCAGAAAUGGAGCAAGUCAAAACUCCAGUGCUGAUCAGUAGUGGGAUUGCGCCUGUGAAUAGCCACUGCACUCCAGCCUGGGCAGCAUAGCGAGACCCCGUCUCUU